UAUACCGUAGCUUGCUACACCAUAGACUGUGAGUUGCGAACGGGUGAGUAACGCGUAGGUAACCUGCCUAUUAGAGGGGGAUAACUAUUGGAAACGAUAGCUAAUACCGCAUAACAGUAUGUAACACAUGUUAGAUGCUUGAAAGAUGCAAUUGCAUCGCUAGUAGAUGGACCUGCGUUGUAUUAGCUAGUAGGUAGGGUAAAGGCCUACCUAGGCAACGAUACAUAGCCGACCUGAGAGGGUGAUCGGCCACACUGGGACUGAGACACGGCCCAGACUCCUACGGGAGGCAGCAGUAGGGAAUCUUCGGCAAUGGGGGGAACCCUGACCGAGCAACGCCGCGUGAGUGAAGAAGGUUUUCGGAUCGUAAAGCUCUGUUGUUAAGGAAGAACGAGUGUGAGAAUGGAAAGUUCAUGCUGUGACGG
rnacentral:rRNA from 1 species